rnacentral:rRNA from 1 species
UUGACUCACGCGGGAAUCUUACCGGGUCCGGACACACUGAGGAUUGACAGGUUCCGAGAGUUUUUGCUUCGGCAAUGCUCUCUUAAAUAUGAUAGUCCUUUCAUGAUUAUGUGAUAGGUGGUGCAUGGCCGUUCUUAGUUCGUGGAGUGAUCUGUCUGCUUAAUUGCGUUUCACUAAAGGCGUCAUAUCUGUUUUGUUGCGUGUUUGACCCCUCUUCGGAGCGCGUGUCUUCACGCACAAUUACUUUGGCGUCUGAAAGCAACGAACGUGACCGUAACCUCUUGUUGCCUUCUCUUCUCCUCGGAGAAUGCUGUUUGUUUUUGCAGGCAGUAUAUGGAGGCUUUUUUACUCAACAACUAGAGGGACCGCUGUUUCUUUCUUUAAACCAGAGGAAGGAUACGGCAAUAACAGGUCUGUGAUGCCCUUAGAUGUUCCGGGCUGCACACGUGAUACAUUGAUUACUUCAGUGAGUAUCUACGUUUUACUGCGUGGCAUUGCAAUCCAUAUUUCUUCGGAAGUGUGUUUUUGUUUUCCGCCUCAACCUGCUUCGAAAGCAUGCGGGUAACCAAUUAGAAGUAGUGAUUUCCUUUUUUAUAAGCACACUAAUAUGGGGCAUCAUCACCCGGCAUGCCUUGUUGUAUGUUUUGUGUGUGGUGUUUGCUUUUCCAUGUGCUUUUGUCAAUUCAUAGUGGGGAUAGACCAUUGUUAAUUGUUGGUCUCGGUCUUAACUAGGAAUGCCUUGUACGAGUUUUUGGUUCAACA